UUUCAUUGCCAAUCUGGGGUCUUACCUGAUUAUCAGUGCCUGUAAUUUGGGUCCUAAGUGGGAAGGCCCAUGUUGUCUGUAGCAUUUUCCAGGCACUGGGUCUGCCAUCUCAAGGUCUUUCAUUCAGGUCCCACAGGGUUUCAUAGAGUCUUUUUGCUCACCCCUGCAGGGACUGACAGCCUGUCUUCAGGGCAGUCUUAAGAAUACCACUAUAACAUUCAGUGAGGCCUGUCCCUGUUUGAUUACAUGGCUGGUGAAAUCACCAUUCAAUAUUGUUUUCUUCUGCCCAGCACUGUAUCACGGUGCCAGUAAAAUGAGUCCUUUGGUCACUCUCAAUGACUUGAGGUGUCCUGUAGGCAGACAUCAGUUUACUAAGUGCCUUGAUGGUAUAUGCCUGGCUCGCUCUUGGCACUGCAUAGGCCUGCAGUAGCCCACUUGUGGUAUUGACACGGGUCAGGACAUA
rnacentral:lncRNA from 1 species